rnacentral:lncRNA from 1 species
AGAAUUCGUCGCUUUGGACGUGACCGCCCUGGCUUAAGCUAUGACCCUCUUUUCUGGAUCUGAUAAGGGCACUGCCUGUCAGAAGGCGGAUUUGUGUGGUGAUGAGUGAGUCUUUUGGAUUGGUAAUGGGACGCGGUGUCAGACUGGAGGUUUAUGAAGUCUCGGGCGGGGAAGGUUUGUGGGACGAAGGUAGGUUAUUGGGGAAUCGGGUGGGGUGAGCUCUGAGGUUAGUAAUCGGAUAAUGGGGUUGUCCGUGGGGUCAGAAAUCGUGUGCAGCGGACUGACUGGGGGCGAGGACGGGGUCAGGGAUUUCGGGGACUCUGAGGACUCGGGGAGGACAGUCACGGGCUAAGUGAGGGAGCAUCCAUGUGGCAGUGAUGUGGCAGGAGGGACUUCCUGGGGGUGUGUAAUUGCCAGGCCCGGGGAUUCGGAUUGGAGGGAGCCCUGGUGGGGUGAGGACAUGGGAGUCGGUCAGCUCUAAUUUUUUCUACAUACCUUAAAAUUUCUACAGGUCAUAGGUAGCCUUAAAGGUCAAGUCCCUUCUCAACCUACUGUUGUGCCCUCAGCCUGGUGCCCUGUCCAAAAAUGAUCAUUUUGGAAUAAGACCAAAGAAAUCAAAAUGGUAAGAUUAUUACAGAAAGUGUGAUUCUAGUCCUACCUCUUUCUGAGAUGAUUGAAAUAAUUUUAUAUUGUACUCCAAAAACAUUUAUUGGAUUUAUUUUGACAAAGCCUGGGAUACGCCAUGUGAGAUAGUCUCCCUGUGGCGGGAGCUGUCACCUCCUCUGAGCCAGUUCGUCAUGUCUACGUGACUCCCUCUGGGACUGAGAAAGACUGACCAGGUGUGUACCUUCCUUCAUUAUGGUAUAUUUCCUUACCAGUAUGCAACGGUUUACAUGCAGACAACUGUACUGUUGAAAAUCAGCAAUAAUUUUUUUAAAAAAUGAGCAAUAAAAAUUUAAAAAGAUAAAAUUAACAUUUUAGGCAGUUCCUGUGGUGGCUCUUCAGAAACAAAUCUGACAAGCAUCCAUGAGGAUGCAGGUUUGAUCCCUGGCCUUGUUCAGCGAGUUAAGGAUCUGGCGUUGCUGUGAGCUGUGUUGUAGGUUGCAGAUGCAGCUGGGAUCUGAGGUUGCUGUGGUGUAGGCAAGUGGCUACAGCUCUGAAUCAGUCCCCUAGCCUGGGAACCUCCAUACACCCCAGGGGCAGUGCACACACACACACACACACACACACACACCACAUACACACACACACCACACACACACACACACACACACUUUAGCCCAUGGGUAUUGAUUGGCAGGAAAGUCUGCUGAGUUGAAGGAAAAUAUGGGAGCUCUUGAGAAAUUAUUAGAAUUCAGCUGCUGAUUCUUUCCGAGGAAAAAGGGACUAUAUCCUUCAGUUUCCAUUUGGCCAUUAGCCAUUCUUAUUACGGGGAGCUUCAUCUUUAUGUAUAUGUACAGCUGAAGGUAUGCAUCUGUUCAUGUUUAUUGCCUUAUGAAAGUACUGGAAUGGAAUUGCUGGUUCACAACGGGGGCGGGGGGGAGAUAAGUUGUUAAUAAAUCAACAUGGAAUAUAUCUUGACUGCUAUACAAUUAAAAAACCUUGGAGUUCCCGUCGUGGCGCAGUGGUUAACAAAUCCGACGAGGAACCAUGACGUUGCAGGUUCGGUCCCUGCCCUUGCUCAGUGGGUUAAGGGUCCGGCGUUGCCGUGAGCUGUGGUGUAGGUUGCAGACGCGGCUCAGAUCCCGCGUUGCUGUGGCUCUGGUGUAGGCCGGUGGCUACAGCUCCGAUUCGACCCCUAGCCUGGGAACCUCAAUAUGCCGCAGGAGCAGCCCAAGAAAUAGCAAG